GUAGGUGGCAAGCGUUGUCCGGAAUUAUUGGGCGUAAAGGGCUCGCAGGCGGUUUCUUAAGUCUGAUGUGAAAGCCCCCCCGGGCUCAACCGGGGGGAGGGGUCAUUGGAGACUGGGGAACUUGAGUGCAGAAGAGGAGAGUGGAAUUCCACGUGUAGCGGUGAAAUGCGUAGAGAUGUGGAGGAACACCAGUGGCGAAGGCGACUCUCUGGUCUGUAACUGACGCUGAGGAGCGAAAGCGUGGGGAGCGAACAGGAUUAGAUACCCUGGUAGUCCACGCCGUAAACGAUGAGUGCUAAGUGUUAGGGGGUUUCCGCCCCUUAGUGCUGCAGCUAACGCAUUAAGCACUCCGCCUGGGGAGUACGGUCGCAAAGACUG
rnacentral:rRNA from 1 species